GGGCCCGGACGACCGGCCUGGCGUGAACCCUUUUGCGGGACGACCCGC
rnacentral:ncRNA from 1 species